rnacentral:lncRNA from 1 species
AGGCAAGAGGAGAGCUUCUUAGCCACCACUGUAUUCUUACUUUCAGGAAGAGAGAGAGAGAGUUUUACGAGAGAAAAUCAUAGAGAGAUUUGUGAUUGGAACUCCAUUGAUUCAUUUAUUCUAUGUCCUGGCUGAUCACAUGUGUAACAUACGCAAGUGUUACCAUGAUUGUUGGCUUGGCCUCCAAAUCCCCGCCCUUUGCCUUUUUUAAAUCUUGGACCCAUGUUGAAAUUUGGCCUUUCUCCUUGGCUAAACUUGGUAUGUCCACCAAAAUGUUGUAUAGUCUUCCUUUCCGCCUCUAACACAGUCUCAACAUUAACAGCUUUUUCCACCAACUCCGAUAAGCGGCUAAAGUUUGCUUCCAGCUAAACUACUUCCAAGCUCUGGCUUCAAUCCGUACAUAAAGUUACGGAUCAUAGUUGCUUCAUCUUCGCGCCCAUCAAAUACAUGUCGUCUCAACCUUGUGAACUCCGGCUCAUAACUCCUUACCGGCCUAUCUCCUUGAACAAGGUUUAUAAACGGACGCUCCAAUCGAUGCUUCGCUUCUGGAGGAAAGUACUUCCUCUCAAACUCUCCCUUGAACGAUUCCCAUGAUGUGAUGGUAUGUCCACGCUGCCUCUCUAUGCUGUCCCACCAGCCCGUUGCGUCUCCUUCCAGAUAGUACACAGCG